rnacentral:piRNA from 1 species
UAUUUAUUUAGUCUAACCUGUCAGGGAGU